rnacentral:rRNA from 1 species
UACGAAGGGUGCAAGCGUUAAUCAGAAUUAUUGGGCGUAAAGAGCUCGUAGGCGGUCUGUCGCGUCUGCUGUGAAAACUCGGGGCUUAACCCCGGGCCUGCAGUGGGUACGGGCAGACUAGAGUGCGGUAGGGGAGACUGGAAUUCCUGGUGUAGCAGUGAAAUGCGUAGAGAUGCGGAGGAACACCGAUGGCGAAAGCAGCCCCCUGGGCUAACACUGACGCUGAGGCACGAAAGCGUGGGGAGCAAACAGG